GAUGAACGCUGGCGGCGUGCCUAAUACAUGCAAGUCGAGCGAACAGACGAGGAGCUUGCUUCUCUGACGUUAGCGGCGGACGGGUGAGUAACACGUGGAUAACCUACCUAUAAGACUGGGAUAACUUCGGGAAACCGGAGCUAAUACCGGAUAAUAUUUUGAACCGCAUGGUUCAAUAGUGAAAGACGGUCUUGCUGUCACUUAUAGAUGGAUCCGCGCUGCAUUAGCUAGUUGGUAAGGUAACGGCUUACCAAGGCAACGAUGCGUAGCCGACCUGAGAGGGUGAUCGGCCACACUGGAACUGAGACACGGUCCAGACUCCUACGGGAGGCAGCAGUAGGGAAUCUUCCGCAAUGGGCGAAAGCUUGACGGAGCAACGCCGCGUGAGUGAUGAAGGUCUUCGGAUCGUAAAACUCUGUUAUUAGGGAAGAACAAAUGUGUAAGUAACUGUGCACAUCUUGACGGUACCUAAUCAGAAAGCCACGGCUAACUACGUG
rnacentral:rRNA from 1 species